CUGGACUGCGCAUCUCACCUCAGCGUUGUGAGAGAAGACUGUCCUGGCACUUGUCCAGCACUUACUGCUAAUAUACUUAUUGUUCUCUGGCCUUUUCUGCUACAAUUACUGCCCCACAAGUCCUCUUCAAGGAAAUGAAAAGUAGCCUUGGGCCCUUCACUGUAUUUGGCAUCAAUCUUCAGACCCCUGAACUGAGUUGGGACUCCAGUACUGUAUCCUCUUCAUCUCCAGGUGACAAGUGACAGCAUGUGAAGAGAUGUCUCAAAG